rnacentral:lncRNA from 1 species
GGGGUGUACUGGGGAUUGAACUCAGGGGCACUCAACCACUGAGCCACAUCCCCAGUCCUAUUUUGUAUUUUAUUUAGAAACAGGGUCUCACUGAGUUGCUUGGUGACUCAGUAAUGCUGAGGCUGGCUCUGAACUCGCAAUCACCCUGUCUUAGCAUCCCAGCCACUGGGAUUACAGGUGUGUGCUACCGUGCCCGGCCAAUUGUGCUAUUUUCUAGCUGUUUGAUCUUGGGCAAAUGUACCUCUCUGAACCUCUUCUCUGGGACAAGAUGACCAAAUAAGGAACACUUCAUAGGAUUGCUGGGGAAUUCUUGAGACACAGAACACAGUACUUGGCCCAGACAGGUGUGCAGAAGAUGGGGAGGUUACUAUUAGUGUCUUUGGCAGACCAUCGUAAAGCUUGUUUUUCCUUUCCAUGUUUCAGUCCAAUCUCUCAUCAUGAACCACUGUAUCAAAUGAGCUUCUGUGUAUUUGUUCAGGGAUGCCUAAACUUGCAUCUCUUCAGAUUUGAUGAAAAAGUAGAAUCGGUCUGUAUAUCCUCACCCAUCUCUAGCAGCACCAUCACAGUUGCCCUAAGCCAGACCCUCUAUGCCAGGCAAUCUAUCUCCUGCUAGAUCGACGACCCACUUAUUCCAUCUGUCUUUCCAGAUGGAAGAUCCUCAGUUUACAAGGGUUCUGCCUUCACUGUAAUUCCUCCAGGCCUGCCAAGUCUUUAUUCAGGGCUAACCACCAAGAUUACAUGCAGCACCAUGUUGAUUAGAAGUGCAAGGAUCAGGACCAACUGAAUGGCCCAGCAGCUCACUGUGAUCCUCAGUGGUCACAAAGCAGAGACAUCUUUUAAGUGUGUCAGGGGCAGCUGGCACUUCCCUAGAUCUCAGUCUCAUGAUUGUGGUACCCACCAUUGACUAUGCCCUGCUAUGGGCAGCCACUACCCUGGGUGCUUGGACACAGUACCUCAGGUAAUCCUCCCAAAGAUCCUAUGAGAGGUGAGAGAAUUAAAGUUCAGAGCAGGGAACAUGCCCAUCCCCACAGAAGUAGCCAGAAGCAUGGGAGGACAGAAGCAAC